rnacentral:rRNA from 1 species
UGGGGAAUUGCUCGCAAUGGGCGCAAGCCUGACGACGCAACGCCGCGUGGAGGAUGAAGAUUUUCGGAUCGUAAACUCCUGUCGAGUGGGAAGAAUAGCUUUCGGGUGAAUAUCCCGAGAGUCUGACGGUACCACUAAAGGAAGCCCCGGCUAACUCUGUGCCAGCAGCCGCGGUAAUACAGAGGUCCCAAGCGUUGUUCGGAUUCACUGGGCGUAAAGGGUGCGUAGGUGGUCGGGUAAGUCUGAUGUGAAAUCUCCGAGCUCAACUCGGAAACUGCAUCGGAUACUAUUCGGCUAGAGGGUUGGAGGGGGGACUGGAAUACUUGGUGUAGCAGUGAAAUGCGUAGAUAUCAAGUGGAACACCAGUGGCGAAGGCGAGUCCCUGGACAACUCCUGACACUGAGGCACGAAAGCUAGGGGAGCAAA